GUUUCGCAUGAGGGAUGGAAGCGGCAUCCUUUUAUGUAAUGCAAUGAAAUAAAAGAUACAGCGUACAGCCCGACCGCGC
rnacentral:sRNA from 1 species